UGCCCAAGAGUCCAUAUCGACGGCAGUGUUUGGCACCUCGAUGUCGGCUCAUCACAUCCUGGGGCUGGAGAAGGUCCCAAGGGUACGGCUGUUCGCCGUUUAAAGUGGUACGUGAGCUGGGUUUAGAACGUCGUGAGACAGUUCGGUCCCUAUCUGCCGUGGGUGUCGGAGACUUGAGAGGAGUUGCCCCUAGUACGAGAGGACCGGGGUGAACGCACCACUGGUGGACCUGUUGUCGUGCCAACGGCAGUGCAGGGUAGCUAUGUGCGGACAGGAUAACCGCUGAAGGCAUCUAAGCGGGAAGCCCCCUCAAAACCAGGUCUCCCUUGAGGGCCGUGGAAGACCACCACGUCGAUAG
rnacentral:rRNA from 1 species